rnacentral:sRNA from 1 species
UUUUAUUUUCUUUUUUAAAAGAGAGGAAGCAAUGAUAACAUAAACAUUUUUAUAGUGUUUUUUUUGAAACAAAAAGUUAGUUUUCUUCCUCAAAUUCGAUAACUAAAUUACACCAUAAAUGAGAAUAUGUUUUUAGUUAAGUAGUUAAAUCCAUUUGAUUCUACCUUUUUUACCAGAGUUUGACUCUACUAAGUCGUGUUACUUCGCAUAAUAAGGAUUGACUAUGAAUCGUGUCUUGUUUAUAAAAAAAAGAAAAAAAAAAUUACACAACAAA